rnacentral:rRNA from 2 species
ACUGUCCCUAUCUACUAUCUAGCGAAACCACAGCCAAGGGAACGGGCUUGGCAGAACCUGCGGGGAAAGAAGACCCUGUUGAGCUUGACUCUAGUCCGACUCUGUGAAGACACAUGAGAGGUGUAGCAUAAGUGGGAGCCUUGCGAAAUUGAAAUACCACUACUUUUAUCGUUUCUUUACUUAUUCAGUUAAACGGAGAGUGGGGUUUCGGCCCCUUUCUUCUGGAAUCAAGCGCGCGACAUCAGCCGCGCGCGAUCCGCUCUGAAGACGGUGUCAGGCGGGGAGUUUGACUGGGGCGGUACAUCUGUCAAAAGGUAACGCAGGUGUCCUAAGAUGAGCUCAGCGAGGACGGAAACCUCGCGUAGAGCGAAAGGGCAAAAGCUCAUUUGAUUUUGAUUUUCAGUACGAAUACAGACCGUGAAAGCGUGGCCUAUCGAUCCUUUUGAUUUUAGGAGUUUUAAGCAAGAGGUGUCAGAAAAGUUACCACAGGGAUAACUGGCUUGUGGCAGCCAAGCGUUCAUAGCGACGUUG